GCCCUUCUCCUUUCCUCCCUGACACAACUGGGAGCCUUCCUGGAGAACAUUAUUGCAGCCUGGAAGAUGAGGAGUUGGGCUGAAAGACCAGCUGAGAAAAUGGGUUUUUUUCAAGACUCCAUGGAUGGCUGGACCAUGACCAGAGGUCCUGUUGUGCUCUCAGGGUUUUGGGACAUCUCAUCAGGGGGUCCCUAUUCUGUAAAAAAUAAGCCAAAAUAUGAGAAAGAAGGGUAGAGAGGUGAGGGACCAACUUUCCCAGCAGAGGAUUGGCAUCAGUCAGAUACAACAAGUACAACAAAGGCCUGUGAAGAGCCAAAACUGUUGAAUGUGUCUGCUAAUGAAAAAGAAGAAUAAGUAUCAGAUGAAGUUUUCUGUUGACUAUUCAGCGUAGCAAAAUCCAAAAGCUGCACUGCAUAGCUGUAGGAAGCCUUUGCAAUAUGGAGUAGUGGGGUUGUAGCAUAUGAUGCUGAGAAAAAUGAGAGCAAAGCAAUCCAUCUCAGAAGGGGAUAAUGUCACAAGGGAGGAGAUCUCAGAAGUCCAAUGAACCGUGCUGUGGGAGAAAGCUUGAUUCUGACUAUGGUCAAAAAACCCCAAACUGUCUUGAAAAAGAGCUAAGAACAAACUGAAUAAAUGCAUUGUAUGAAUAUGUGGUGAACAAAAGCGUUUGGGGGUUUGGAGGGCAUUAGAAUAACUAAUGUAAGGGAAAUCCAUUGGAUGCUUUUAAAUAUCAAUACACAGUAUCUUCAAUAUUGUGUAUUGAUAUUUACAAUACAACGCAGUAUCUUUAAAUAUCAAUCAUGGUGUACCCACAUCUGCAAAGAGCUGGGGCCUGGGCAAGCAUUAGUAAUGUAACAUAGCUACAUGCUACACACAGCUCCAUGGCCUGUUCUUACUCUUGGUUCUGCUGUGAAGUACCAUAGAAAACAGGACAACAGGGUAGGAUGAAGAUUGAUCCAAUAAUAGUUAGUGGCUGUGAUUUUUCUGCUUUUCAAAAAAAUGCUGUCCUAGAAUAAGCUGUGUGGCACUCUGUGAUUGUGUGUGUGUGAAGGGCUUUUUUGGAACGUGCAGAUACUGUGCUUGCUCAGUAAAGAGAGCUGCUGGAGGAGAAGACUCCUGAGGCUGUUGUACAUCUGAUAUCAAAUGGACAUUGCAGACAGACAGCCCAAGCAAUGAGAAGUUCCUUGUACCAGCCUUGUUCUUCACCAGCACCAGUCACUCUGAAAUGGACAGAAUCAUUAGGUGAUGGAAAACCAUUGCCUGGGUCAACAGACCUGCCUCUUGUAUCCUCUGAGAAACAUUUGGGCAGAAAACCAGCUCCAAAAGGAUUUGCUUUGUUAAACCCAUCCUCUCCCAUCACUCCUGAAGUACUGCGCUUCUGGUAAAGGAGAACUGGAUGAUGUGGAAGCAGCUGGAUGGGUCAGGCCGACUCAUCCUGCCCUCAAAGCCCUCGUGUGCUGCUUUAACACACACCACAGUGGGGCGAGACACUGUGUGGGAGUGUGAGACAGCUCCUAAUGUUCCUGUUGAUCAAAUGGCCCACUGAGUCUCCUGAUCUGCUGCGAUGAUAAGUCCUAACAAGGACUCUCUCUUAAUCCUCAUUAUCCCCUGUUGGCGCUUCCUGCCCACAUACACUAGAUAUUUCCUAUCAACAGGGAGGAACCUCUGUGGAAGAUAGGAUCAGAUUCCCAGGAGCCAGGCUGGAGUAAGAGUGAAGAAAGAAUGAGGAAACUGUCCUAAUUUGAGGUUAAUCUUAUAAAUACAGGGUUGGAUACAGACAAUAGGAAGAGAAAUGCCAGGAGAGCUUCAGCAUUUAGUUAGGAAAGGAGCAUCUUUUUCCAGGAGUAGCCUGAAUUGUAACUUAUGAUGUGGUGAAGCUGCUGUUUGAUGUCAGCUUCAGCGGAGGGGAAGAGACAGAUUCUGAUUUGUGUUACCAGAGGAGGAGUAGUCUGAGGAAAAAAAAAAAAAAAAACAAACCAGGAAAGGUGUUUUUAAAAGUAAUUUUUUGUCAUUUGUAUACUGAUUCAAGCUGCAGUGCAUGGAUGGAGUGUUUAAUUUCACAGAUUUUAUUUGAAUAAGACACUAAAUAAGGAGAAGAAAAGGGCUGUGUGAUUUUCUUCCCUAAGCAGACAGCAUACCCAUUGAGUAUUUAAAGUUGCAUGGCAUUGCUGAAAAUGCAGAAGCCCACAGACCUUCUUUUCUUCUAGUGUAAGUGGGUUAUUGGGGUGGGGUGUUUCUUUCCUCUACCUAGACCCAUAGCUGGAGCCUGGACCAGUCAGAGGCUUGGCCUGUCCCUCGUGCUCACCUUUCAUGUGGGCUGGGUGGAGUGUGCUGAAGCUUUGUGUUGGGGUGUUCUCUACAAACAGUUGCUUUUAUGAACCUUUUUAGACAGCCUGUUAAACUGAAGAGCUGCCUCCUGCCUGUCCUGUCCACAUGCCAGCACCAUGCACAGAGCGUGUGACACCUCUGUGUGUUUUGUUGGCAAGCAGGGUGGGAGCUGGUGCCUGUUUGUGAGAAGUGAAUUGCCUUUGUGGGGGGUGUCAGGGUCCCUAAAUGCACAUUCAUGUGCAGCAGGUGUUCCAGCAUGAUCCCAUGUGAAUGACUACAGUGCAACAAGGUGUGGACACCGGUUGCUCAUCCCCACCCUGAAGGUGGUGUUGCAAGUUCCUGAAAAAUGCCGUCAUGCCCUUGCGGGUUUGGACUUGCUUGGCUUUUCACUCUCUGUGUCCUGCUCACAGGGCGUGUGGUGAUGGUGUUUCAUUUGUUGCCCAGCUCUGGGCUGAUCAUGGCUUCUUCCCUCAGAAGCUUUAUAGGCCUUGCCUUGGACCAGGUUUGUGAAGCUCCCUAGAAACCUCCAGUUCCUUUUGGGUAGUCCAGCUUGUACAGAAGAUCUUGCAAAUCUUAGCCUAAGACAAGUGAUACAGUAGUUCCCUGUCCCAUGCUUCCUCUAUCAGUAAGGACAAGGCUUUUUUAGCUAUUUAUAUGCCACCUGAAUCUUAAUUUCCCACUUCCUACUGUUUCUGGUCCUCCCAGGAGAAUUGAUUUUUGCCUGAAAGUCAGUAGAACAAGCAUGUUCUGCCAUGUGAACUCCCAGUUGCUCCUCAGGUGGCUGGCUCUGUUGUUUUCUCUCCACCAUGGCAGGUUAUGCCAUCCAAGGGUUCUACUUCAUUAAAGACACUGCACAGUUUGACUCUGAUGGCUGGUUUGGUUUUCUUUUUUGGGCUAUGUUUAAGAUAAACUCUGUGAGGGAGCAGGGCAGGCUCAGAGGACAUACACAGUGAUGUGGACACAGCAAAUCAUCUUUGCACUGUUCCCUUUCAUAAAGGAAAGUAAGUAGUGCCUACAGGUGGUUGAUACAGCUGAAGAGUGAGCAGAGUAUAAUUGCUCCUGCUAUCUUCUGGGAUGUGCUUCCAGCAAGUCACGACACCUGGUAACAUGCUUGUAACAUCUAUUAACCUUCUAAUUAUAUAAGUGGUGCUUUAAUAGUGCCUGGUUGCCAGUCAAGUCUGGAAACAUCAACUGAGGCUCUCCAUGGUCACUGCUGAAAUGCUGAGCCUGGUCACUGAGUCCACUGUGUCUUACUGUCAGUCCUUGCCAGGUGGCAGCCUGCAGUGAAGAGCUGUGAGGCUGAAGGGAUCAACAUUUCUGCAGAGCCCUGAGUCACCUGGCAUAGCACUGGAUUUCAGGCAUUCUUCAUUCACUAAACUUGCUACUAAGGCAGCUUUGGUGGAAGUAAUCAGUUUCCUGAAAGUGGAGGCCUUUCCUGGCUGAGCACCCAGAGUUGGGGUUUGAAUGAACUGCUGUUUGGAAGAGCAGAGUGGGAAAAGUGGGAAGUUUUGCUGUGUGCUCCAUUACCAGAGACUGCGGACAAGAGUACAGAUCAACAAACAAUACCAAAAGUCAGAGAACCACUUUCAGUUGCCUGCAUUCAGAUGCUCCUGGCGAGCAGAGCAAAGCUUUGAAUGGAGAGCACAGCCCGCCUCCAAUCUGUCUUCCUCCUUCCUGGCCCUAAACAAGACUUCAGGUACAUAGCUCCAGAAUAAGCAGUGAGAGCCAGUUUAGGGUGGGCACCAUCUCUGCCCUCCACUAUCUCUAGUGCCCCAGUCAGCAGGGACAUGAGCCCGGGCAGUGCCCCUGUGGCACAGCUGUCAGAAAAAAUAACAAGCUGGCAAGUCCUGACUCCUUAUUUAUAUUUUGGUGAAGGUUUUUAUCAUGUUUCCUGCAGACACGGAUGGAGAGGAACGGGUGGUUCUGCUGUUGGCGUGCCUUUCAGAUAAAGCCAAUUGCUUUUCACACACUCUUGAGUUGCUGUUGGGUCUCAGUAUAUCCUCUUCUGCUUUUUAAUGCUGCUGCUUCUCCUGUGCCUGCUGGAAGACAGGUGUCUUCUAUGCAAAGGAUUUUUAAGAAGCUGCUUAGCCUGUUUACUUUUCAUCUUUAUGACUUUUACUCUGUUUUUUUUUUUUAUUCUUCCUCUGCCCCAUAAACUUCUUGUUUACCUUCUCCAAGUAGAGAAAAUUUACAGGAAUCUGUUAUAUGUUAAUUGAAAUUGCUUCUUGCUGUGCAUGGAAACAAAAAAGGCAAACUACGACUGCCACACAAUGUAAGCAUAAACAGGAAAACAUACCAAAAAAAGCUUUAUUUUGUAGACACAGUCCCUUAAGAAUGCAAAACCUUCUCAGCCUGGAAGGCCUGUAAGUCAAGUAUCAAUUGAUGUGAUGUACUGGAAAAGGAAAUGUUUAACUUUUUUAUUUAUGUCCAGUAAAUCUCAAUGAAGCCUUCAGGGAAAAAAACAACUCAGGAGGAUUCAAAGGAAAACAGCUCGAAGGGCUUCCGGCUGUGUAUGCACCACUUUAAAUUUAAGAGCUUCAUGGGAAUGUUGAUAGUUUAUUCUCAGCAGUGUCAUUGGAAUGAGUCUGUAAUUUGGAAACCCUUGCACAACUUUCAAUUUUAAAAGAGAAUUCUGGCCUAGAUUUUAAAAAGUGACCAUGGAAGGGUUCCUCAAACCAGUAGUUAGGUAGCCCAAAAACCGUGUCUAGAAAAGCAAGUCCCUUUAGGCUGUCUCCUCUUGGAGUCCAAAUUUAAUAUGUGAUCUCAUGUUGGGAAGUCACCAUGUGAUUUGGGCAACCAAAAAUUGGUGACUUAUCCAUUAGCUGAAAUAUAUUUGAACUUAGUAAUUGAACACAAUGAGUAGAAUCAUCAAAACUGAAGUGUGUUCAUGGUUCCUUUGUUAACUGACAAAGGAGCUCAAUCAUUUGUUGAGCAUUUGGCUCCAAGUUGUACACCUAGCUCUAGUGUCCAACUGCAAAGGCAAAAUAUUCAGUUAAGCUCAGUAUUUGAUGGUUUAUGAAGAUCAUAUCUAUUUUUAUUGCUUUACUGGGAAAAGACUUGAGAACUCCUUGUUUUUAUUUUUAUUUUUAACCCCUUCCAGCAAGGUGUCAGCAGAUCAGAGGCAGGCAAUUAUCCCCAGCAGUUGGUCAGACAGUGAUCAAGGAAUUUCUUUGGUCUGGAAGGGGUCCUUGUCUCUGCUGCACUGGGACUCAGCCAGGCAGGACAGCGCUUUUCCUCUCUGCGACUUUAAUUAGGGCAAAGGAAGAACAAACUGUCACUAUGAGCUGUUCCAACCAACUCCCUUCUUCUAUCAACUGCCAACCAUGAUUUUAUGUUUAAUUAUUUGCAUUACAUCAUUACUCCUGUGCUAGGUGUUGUACAUGGCUAAUGAUGCAAAGCCUAGCCCAGGUUUGGACACUGUACAGGCUUCCCUGUAGGGCGGAUGUGCAAAAGUGUUCGAAGUGCUCAAGGAGGGGAAGCUGGCAAAGCCUCCUCUACCUUCUCCCCUUAGAAUAGUAAGAUAUUUAACAUGUUAAUUUAGCUUACUUAUUAAAAUGGAAUAGUCAUCUGCAGAAGUAAAGCCUGCACAGGUUAGAAACUCCUCUAUGCUUUCUGUGCUUUGUGUCUGAGCAGGACAUUUUUGCAGGAGACCCUGUCAGAGGUCCACUGGGCUAUUCCCACUGGCACAAGCCCAGGCUGGGCACUGGGGCAUUUGUUAAGAAACCUUGGCAAAGCAGAAUCCAUCAAAGUCUUGACUCUGCAGAGCAUAUAAGUCAAAGUAUCUCUUCUGAAGGUGCCUGGUUAACAAGAUCUCCCCCCUCCCAGAGCCUGUGGUCAGGGCUGGCUACUUGUUACUGUCCCAAUGUCAUUUCCAUGUCCUCACAGCUUGUGUGUGCACACGUGUUUCCACUUGCUUUUUUAUCAUGUUCUCCUUUCUGAGCUUCCCUUUUGACUGUUGAUAAACUGUAUUGCUUAAUACGGGCGAGGGUGUUGGUUUUGGAGGGUCUGGCAGGGUUCCCUGCAGAGGAGCUAUCACAGUGUGGUCUCAUAGUCUAUCAGCUGGCCAGUGGAGUUUGCUGGGUCCCUCCCAGCAGGAGUGUGCCUGCCAGAUGCUGGGCUGGGAGUGAAACUGGGAAAGGAUGUUCAGUGCGCUGGUAGUAAAUCUCUGAGCAAAAUGAGCUAGGAAAGGGGAUAGGCAGUGCUGGUGGCAGAGGAGGGUCAGCCUGACUCACAGAGCCCCUGUGCUACACUCACCAAGUCUGGUCUGAAAGAGUGGAGAGGGAAAUAAUUUCUUCUCUGGCCUGUGUUGGUGCCUCUGCCCCCCUGCCCUCAUGCAGGGCUGUGUGUGUAGUGUCUGGGAAGCAGAGCAGGGCAAGGCAGCAGGUGCCCAAAUGCUUUGCUCUUUCUCAGUCCUGUGGCCAGAGUUGAAGCCAGCUGUCUGUCACCUGAGUCAAACCUGCCUUAACCUGGUGGAAGUGAGGUGAGGGACUGGAGCUGGAAUGUAUCCUGGUAUUCUAUAGCUAGCUAUGCACUGGAAAGCCCAGGAGCUGAUGCUGCUGGCAGGAGAUGCCCUUUACUCCUCUCUGGAGCAGUUGAGUCUGUCUGCACUGAAACAUGCUCUGCCUCCGGAAGAGGAAAUGUGGGCCCUGCUUCUCUGAGAUGCUGCAGGAUGGCCAAACAUCCUCAGCAGAUAGAGAUCAUGUAAUUCAGGUGGACCACUAAACUUUUAGGCAGCAAUUAGGACUUAUACAGUAACUGUGAGUCAGCUAAUACGUCUGGGUGUUGCCUUGGCAUACUUCCGAUGGCAAAUCCUUCCUGUGUAGGCUUGAUGUUCUGACAUUGUCUGAUGGCCUCUCAAAUGCUCCACUUGGAAACUUGAUCAAAAACCUGUGGUGGUGCCAGAGGGAGAUGUCCCAUUAAAUUCCUCAGUCUUCCUUUGGUCCUCUAAACCUGCAGAGGAUCCCAGGCAAUUUCUUUGAUGCCUUCUUCCCCAGUGGAUGAAGUAAUUACAACUUCUGUGCAGCAGGCUAAUAGCUCUGAAGGCUUUAGUCAGGCUGAUUAACAACCACUGUGUUUUAAUAAAAAAUGUUCUGGUAAAUCUUUCUGAAUUGCAGCCCUAAUUACUCUGCAGCCUGAUGUGCAGCAAUUGCAAAGUUAAUAGGAUCACCUGAAUCCAGUUAAUGAAUCCUCUGUUAUGGCUUGCUGUGACUCACAAGAUGUGCAGUGUUUUUUCUGGUCUCCCCUGCCCUGUUCCAUUUCCUGGUGAAUAUUUAUGCUCUGUAUGGCUGAAGGCUGAGGUAUAAAGUGACCCCACCUUUUCAUCCUUCUCCUGUACUACUGAGCUGGCUGCAAACAAAACAUAGUGGGAGCCUUGCCAGGCAAUGGUGUGGUUCCCCUGAGGUGCUGCAAAUGAGCUCCUGGGGAGGAGGUGCUGAGGUGGACCAAGAUGUAAAUAAACAAGAGGAAACUCCAUCCCACUGCCCUGUCAGCUCCAGGACUAACUUGGACUUGCAAGGGACUUGCUAGGGAACAGGAAGUAAAUGGAGUGUCUUGUGGAGAUGCCUUCUAGGGAGAGCUGACUGCCAGCCAAAAUCCCAUCCAGCUACAAAAGCAGCUGUUUCAGCCCAAAGAAUUUUUUGGUUGCAGCUGGCUGUGCUGUGCCCUGCAUCAGCCUCCAGAGAGCCUGUAUCACAGGGCAGGAGACCUUUCAGCUGGAGAAGUCAGCCACUGUUCAAGCUUGACCCAGAUUCUGAGGCUUUCAUCUGGAGAGCUUCAUCACUGAUUUUCAGCCCUGGUUGUGUGAAUUUUUCUCCAGACCAGUCUGGAAAUGUAAGAGCGGGGGAAUCAUCUGGCUCUUGCUGGAAGCGAGAGCACCCACUGGGAGCUGUUCUACCAGACCUUGGUCUCCUUCCUAUGCCACCUCUUGUCUGAGCUGAGGCAUCCUCCCACAUGGACAAAGGAGCUGCAAAAAUCACCUGUCAAUCUGUUCUUCAUGCCUUGUCAAUCCUUGCUAAGAGAGGGUGUGAGACAUUCCCCCCCAUAAGUCACGACUUAGGUGAACCACAGGAUCAUCUUCUCAUGGUGGCUUUUAAAAAGGAAGACUUUACCUGCCUUUGCUUCAGCCUUUCAGUGAUCUUUUGAGAUCCCACGUGUGUUUGUGACCAUUUCUGAGCCCCAAGCUGGAAUUUUUAAAGCAAUACAAGCAGCAACCUCAAGCAAAAUAAUGGAUGACUGAGAGCAGAAGGAAGCACCGUGUGCUCACAGAGUGGAGAACUGCUCGUGCAGGUCCUUUGGAUUCCUCGUGCAGAUUAAGGAGUGUCCCUGUAGAGCUGAAACACAGCGGCAGAACUUCUGGGUGACCUUGACUGACUUGGUGCUCAUCUUGGUCUGAAGAGGGAAGUAGCUGGCAGCAGCUGAAAACUAGAGAGGAGGAUGUGAUUAGUGUUUGCUGCCGUGGGAUGUCAGCUGGGGGAUGAGAGCUGUGUGCCAAGAGGAGGAAAGAGCUGCCACGGGCGGAUGAAGACUGUCCCUUUUUCACAUGAAACACAGCGAGCCCAAACCCCAUUCUCCACGGGGAUCAACCUGCAGGGAUGAUGAGAGAAACACAGCGAGUGCCCAGCUCUGCAGAGCUCAGCUGCAGAACACAGGAUUCACCAAACCCUUCAAGCCAGCCCAUUCCCCUUCCCUUGACUCAGGGCUGGAAAUAACAGCAGGAAUCCCAACAAACUUGCCACUGGCAAGAACAUUUAUUGGUGAGGCACUGCCAAAUCCCCCAAGCUGUCCAUGCACAAAGGGGUCGGGUCACCCCUUGUGCAGCCCCCACGGCUGCAGCAGGGCUUGGCACAGGAGUUCUGCUGAAGAUGUGAGGGCUUGGUCCUGCAUGAGUUUUGCAA